CACGUAGGAAGCAAGCGUUAUCCGGAUUUACUGGGCGUAAAGCGCGUGCAGGCGGACUAGUAAGUUAGAUGUGAAAUCUCCCGGCUUAACUGGGAGAGGUCGUCUAAAACUGCGAGUCUGGAGUGUGAGAGAGGGAGGCAGAAUUCCGAGUGUAGUGGUGAAAUGCGUAGAUAUUCGGAGGAAUACCAGAGGCGAAGGCGGCCUCCUGGCUCACAACUGACGCUGAGACGCGAAAGCUAGGGUAGCAAACGGG
rnacentral:rRNA from 1 species